CCAACCCAACAAAGGCCCAAAAUAUCUCUCUCUUUCUCUCUCGACACUGCUUCAAUUUCUCUCUCCAAAACCUCCACAAUCUCUCUCUCUCUCCUAAAAAAUCCCAAAUGCACAACCCUAGCACUCCUCACUCUCCUCCUUCGAUACCUUAGCACCCCUGUCGCCGGAAACCUAACCGGCACUACCGCCGGCACAUAUCCGGCGAGAAUUAUUCGUUUGACGUCCUUCUCUAUUCGAUUCGAUUCGAAUUCUCCAUUUCAAUUGGCUCCCCUGUUCUUCCUUUUCGAAUUUCAGGUUUUUUCCCUGAUCAAUUACCACCACCACCACCACCACAAAGAAGAAGCAGAGCGACACAAGUAACCGCCUAUGGCUCCGGGGCGUAAAAAGGGAGCGAAUAAUAAGAAAGUUCAGUUGCGUUUGGGUGAUCUUGUGCUUGCUAAAGUCAAGGGUUACCCUUCUUGGCCUGCGAAGAUUAGUCGGCCUGAAGAUUGGAAACGAGCCCCUGAUGCUAAGAAAGUUUUUGUCUAUUUCUUUGGAACUCAAGAAAUUGCUUUUGUUGCCCCUUCUGAUAUUCAGGUAUUCACAAAUGAAGUAAAGAAUAAACUGUCGGCUCGGUGCCAGAGUAAGAAAGAUAAGUUCUUUUCCCAAGCUGUGAAGGAAAUCUGUGCAGCUUUUGAAGAGUUGCAGAAGGGAAAGUCAAGUGGAUUGGGAGAUACUACUGAUAGAUCAGCACCAGGAUCUGAGGCUCCAUCUGUUGACUCAAUGGAAGAGGAUGAGGCAGAGGAUGACUUAAAUGAGGACAUGGGUAAAGUUGGACAAAGUGGAGAAGUGUGGAAUUUAAGACGUGAAUAUAGUUCUAAGUUAGAGCGUUGCUCCAGUAGACGAGAUGAAGCUGGCUCCGAAGAUAUGAAGCCUUCCGUAUCAGGUGACGCAGAUGACAGUUCAUCCCCAGGUAUAUCUUCUGAAAAGAAGGUUAAAAUGUUUGAUAGUGCACAACCACAAGAAGUAUUAUCUGCUUCCAGUUUGGAUAAUGUUUGCUGUGUAAAAGUUGAAGCCUCUUGUAAUGGAAAUCUGGAUCUUAAUUGCAAUAAGAACCUGGGUACUGGUGAGGGGGCGUGGACAAAUCCCCAUGAGUCUAAGACAGUGUUUUCUGGGGCUGAGAGAAAAUUGGAAUGUAACUCCAGGGAACAAGUUAUAGGCGGAGAAAAAGGCAAGCUUGCUAGUGGCAGUAUAAAAGAUCCCCCCCCAGGCCCUCCUAAAUCAGAAUUAGAUGCCAACGGUGGUAGAAAAGUAAAAGAACUAUCAAAAGUCAAGAAGGGUACUAUGGUGUCUGAUGAAAAACAUGAAAAUAAGGUUUUUCAAAAGAAAAGGCGUGCCCAACCUGAUCAUGGAAAAUCUGAGCUUGAAGCAACUGAAAAUGCAAAUCCUGCUAAGAAAUCAAAGCGUGUAGAUGUGGCAGAUGAUAUUACAAAGGGACCUUUCUCAGAAAACAUGAGUGUUUCACCAAGCUCAAAUGUUGUUGAUGACCAAGCAGCCAAACGGUCCAUGGCACAUGGAAAAAGGGAGAUCCUUUUGGGAUUAAGAGCCCGAAGCGACAAAGCUAAAUCAGAUGCUUUUGCCCAAACUAGUAAAGUUAAAUCUAAUCUUUCUUCUCAAUCAGGUAAGGUCAAAUCUGGUACAUCUGCCAAGAUGAGUAAAGUUGAUAGUGAUGCAUCUGCCCAAACAGUUAAAGUCAAAAGUGAUGCUUCUGCACAAUGGGGUAACACUAAUACUGAUGUAUCUGUUCAAAUAAGUAAAGUCAAACUUGAUUCAACUGCUGAAAUUGGCAAAGCUAAACCUGAUGUUCCUGAUCCAACGAGUAAAGCUAAAUCUGAUGUUUCAAAUGAUGAAGCUGUGCUGCCUGUAUUAAAACGUCGUAGACGGGCAAUGGAGGCGAUGUGUGAUGCUGCUGCUCUCAAUUCUGAUGACAGAAUGGAGAAAAAUGCUCUCGAGCUAAAGAGUGAUAUGGUUUCUAUUAAUGCGAGGGUUUCCAUUACCCAACAGCCCAAAAGGCGAAGAGCUGUUUGCCUUUAUGACAAUGAUGAUGAAGAUGAGGAACCCAAAACUCCUGUUCAUGGAGGGGCUGCCAAAAAUGGCAGAGAACCUGUUUCUGUUUCUGAUGCUUCCAAGAGAACUAAUGCACGAAUUGAAAGUUCUGUUAAUCAACAACAACGAAACUCUAUUAACGCUCAGACAAGUAUCAAGGAUUCUACUGGUUUAGAGAAUAUCCAUUCCAAGGAAUCAUCUUCGCUGUUACAGAACAAUCCUCGUUCGCCCAGCUAUCCAAAAACUGUGAAGAGGAAUGAUACACAUAUCUCUCCAAGUCCUGGCAAAUCAGAGCCUGAGCAGUUACUGUCAAAGGAGGCAAAACCAAUCACAACUACCCCUAAGAGGUCUCCUCAUCUGCUUUCUGCCACCAAACCAAUUGUGGAACAGCAUAAAGCUAUCAACCCUGCAGUUAAAGUUUCCACUCCUGGCACUCAAAAAAAGGCCCAGGCUGGACCUGGCAAGGUUUCAGGUCCUGUUUUGGAUAGUUCAAACGCUUCUCAAAAUCUUGCGCCAAGUCAAAAAAGUAGAGCAGCUUUUUCUGGGGAAAGGCCAAAAAGUACUCCUAAAGCAACUUCACAAAUGAGUAACCUGACUGUUCCAAUGGGUGCUUUAUCAGAACUGGAAGUUGGUAUGGAUGACAGACCCAGCUUUUUGGUCGAUUCUAAGACUCCAGAUUCUGUUACAUCUAUGAAACAUCUCAUUGCUGCUGCUCAAGAAAAAAGGAGACAGGCUCACUUGCAAUCCUUUCCUCUUGGAAACCCUGCCUUUAUAGCUCUCAACAACGCUCAGGGAAGGAGCCCCAGCUCCUCACCAAGCCAACUUCUUUUGUCUGGUACUAGCAAUGCUGCACAGGCAGAUAUGCAGGGCUUUUAUCAUCGCACAGAUUUAGUUUCUCCAUCUACACAUGGUCGCCAAUCAGCAUCACAUGACCAAGUGGAAGGUGAAGAAAUCGAGGAGCGGAGAGUUAGUUCUGGACACAGGGCUGCUGGAGGUUCACUGAGUGGUGGCACUGAGGCUGCUGUGGCCCGCGAUGCUUUUGAAGGGAUGAUAGAGACUUUAUCAAGGACGAAAGAAAGUAUUGGACGUGCAACUCGCCUUGCCAUUGAUUGUGCCAAGUAUGGCAUUGCAAAUGAGGUUGUGGAGCUUUUAAUCCGAAAAUUGGAAAGUGAGCCCAGUUUCCACCGCAAAGUGGACAUAUUUUUUCUUGUGGACUCCAUCACCCAGUGUUCACAUAAUCAAAAAGGUAUUGCUGGAGCUUCGUAUGUCCCUACAGUGCAAGCAGCAUUACCACGCCUUCUCGGCGCUGCUGCUCCAGCAGGAGCUAGUGCUCGGGAAAAUCGUCGUCAGUGUUUAAAGGUCUUAAGAUUGUGGCUUGAGAGAAAAAUCUUGCCUGAAUCUGUUUUGAGGCGCUAUAUGGAUGAUAUUGGAGGUUCAAAUGAUGAUACCUCUUCUGGAUUUUCCCUCAGACGUCCAUCCCGAGCUGAACGAGCUAUAGAUGAUCCAAUCAGGGAAAUGGAAGGCAUGCUUGUUGAUGAAUAUGGAAGUAAUGCUACAUUUCAGUUGCCCGGCUUUUUAUCUUCUCAUGUGUUCGAGGAUGAUGACGAGGACUUCCCUAGCAGCCCAUUUAAGGAAGGUGAUGGUGCGUUGGGAGUGACAGGAUCAAUCCAUGCUUUAGGAGAUUUAGAAAUAAGUACUGCUACUCCAAGUGACAGGCGACAUUGCAUCUUAGAGGAUGUGGAUGUGGAACUUGAAAUGGAAGAUGUGUCUGGACACCAAAAGGAUGAAAGACCUUCAUCCACAGGUGGUUCUUUUGAAAUGGAACCACAGCAGCAUUGCUCAGAUGGGCCAGAACCUGCAUUAAAUGAUUCUGCUGAGUUGCUGCCUCAACCAGAUGAUUCUCCACCACCGCCUCUUGAUUCUCCUCCUCCACCCCCGCCUUUGCCUACCUCUCCACCGCCACCACUACCUCUAUCACCUCCACCCUCAACAUCUCCAUCACCUCCACCUCCACCGCCGCUUCCACCUCCACCUCCACCUCUUCCGUCGCAACCACCACCUCUUCCGUCGCAACCACCACCUCCUCUUCCUCCUGUGCCAACUAUGGUACUGCAACCACCUGUACCAACUCAACCUUUGUUACCAGCCAAACCAAUACAACCAUCUCAUUCAUCCGUACAGCCCUCCCCUCAGUUGGCAUAUCAACAAGCUGUACCUCAUGAAUACUGCACUACACCCAAUAGUAAUCAAAUUGUCCAAAUGGCUGGCGGUACUCCUCAUGGGAAUCACAUGUUUUUAAACCCUCAAGCUCCUCAACAAAAUCCACAUUUUCAGCCGGUUAAUGCACCUUUUCCACAAAGACCACUGCAUCCAAACCUGGCACAAACUGCAUCUGGUCAUUUCUCAUUUACAAAGCCUCUAAUUCAGCAGCAUCCUCAGCAUCCUUAUCCCCGUCCAUACCCUAUGCUAUCACAUCCUGAUGGACGGCCACGAUUUGCUACUGAUGAACAGUGGAGGAUGCCUUCAAGCGAAUAUGCAGAUGGUCAGCAUGGUGCAUGGAUGAGUGGAAGAAAUCCAUCACACGCAGGGCCUUCUUUUGGCCAGGAAGGUUACUUUCGGCCACCGCCUCCAAAUAAUAUGGGAUUUCAGGUUGCUCCCACCAAUAAUUUACCUGCUGGAGCUCCCAUUCCAGGUCAUGGUGUUUCACAGAUGUUGCCAUGUAGACCAGACAUGCCUUCCCUUAACUGCUGGAGGCCAGCUCAAUAACAAGUCUGAGGGCUUCUUAAGUUUUUGACGCUGUGAUCCUGAAAGGAGGAAGUACACUUGCAUUAUAUACGCCGCAAGGAAGGUUCCAUUUUGGACUUACAACUACCACUUGAAGGCAGUGCUUGAACCUUGUGGAGACUCUUGGCAGGGCUGUGUAUAUUGUAAUUUUUCCUGACAAAUGUAUCCCGGGAACAUUUGCUUCCGAGUGUAGGACCAUGUUUCUGACUUGGUUUAAGCAAACAAUUAAGCUGAAUCUGCUCAUUCAUUACAUCUCAUUAUGGGGAAUAAAGUUCAAACUAUAUGUGGGAGAAAACUUCUGCAAAAUUUGAGGUAAAUAUUUGAUGUGGACUCUCAAAACCAAAACAAUGCUCAUAAUUUUGUAUUUUUUAGAUAGGAAUAGUUUUUCCUCUUGGUAUCUUUAAAAAGUAAAGGUGUCCAACAAAAUGCUUCAAUUUAUUUUGAAGAAAUAGCUUAUUAGCUUACAAACAGUUAAUUCCAUAUGUGAAUAUCUUUAUGACCCCUCUUACGUGCUGUAUCAUCAUCACAAUGUGAACAGUUGCUCAUUUUGAGAAUUCAAUUUACUUUUUGUUGCAACCA